GGCAACUUGGCCGAGCGGUUAAGGCGCUGUCUUCAGGAAAUCCCGACAUGCUACCGCAUGGAAAGCUUCCUUGGCAGUUCGAAAGAGCGAGGGUUCGAAUCCCUCAGUUGUCA